rnacentral:rRNA from 1 species
UACGGAGGGUGCGAGCGUUGUCCGGAAUCACUGGGCGUAAAGGGCGCGUAGGCGGCCUGAUAAGUAGGGGGUGAAAUCCUGAGGCUUAACCUCAGGGCUGCCUUCUAAACUGUCGGGCUCGAGCACAGUAGAGGCAGGUGGAAUUCCCGGUGUAGCGGUGGAAUGCGUAGAGAUCGGGAAGAACACCGGUGGCGAAGGCGGCCUGCUGGGCUAUGGCUGACACUGAGGCGCGACAGCGUGGGGAGCAAACAGG